AUUGAACGCUGGCGGCAGGCUUAACACAUGCAAGUCGAGCGGAGAGAGGUAGCUUGCUACUGAUCUUAGCGGCGGACGGGUGAGUAAUGCUUAGGAAUCUGCCUAUUAGUGGGGGACAACAUUUCGAAAGGAAUGCUAAUACCGCAUACGUCCUACGGGAGAAAGCAGGGGAUCUUCGGACCUUGCGCUAAUAGAUGAGCCUAAGUCGGAUUAGCUAGUUGGUGGGGUAAAGGCCUACCAAGGCGACGAUCUGUAGCGGGUCUGAGAGGAUGAUCCGCCACACUGGGACUGAGACGCGGCCCAGACUCCUACGGGAGGCAGCAGUGGGGAAUAUUGGACAAUGGGCGGAAGCCUGAUCCAGCCAUGCCGCGUGUGUGAAGAAGGCCUUAUGGUUGUAAAGCACUUUAAGCGAGGAGGAGGCUACUUUAGUUAAUACCUAGAGAUAGUGGACGUUACUCGCAGAAUAAGCACCGGCUAACUCUGUGCCAGCAGCCGCCGCGG
rnacentral:rRNA from 1 species